rnacentral:rRNA from 1 species
AACGAACGCUGGCGGCAUGCCUAACACAUGCAAGUCGAACGAGACCUUCGGGUCUAGUGGCGCACGGGUGCGUAACGCGUGGGAACCUGCCCUUAGGUUCGGAAUAACUCCCCGAAAGGGGUGCUAAUACCGGAUAAUGUCUUCGGACCAAAGAUUUAUCGCCUUUGGAUGGGCCCGCGUUGGAUUAGCUAGUUGGUAGGGUAAAAGCCUACCAAGGCGACGAUCCAUAGCUGGUCUGAGAGGAUGAUCAGCCACACUGGGACUGAGACACGGCCCAGACUCCUACGGGAGGCAGCAGUGGGGAAUAUUGGACAAUGGGCGAAAGCCUGAUCCAGCAAUGCCGGGUGAGUGAUGAAGGUCUUAGGGUUGUAAAGCUCUUUUACCCGGGAUGAUAAUGACAGUACCGGGAGAAUAAGCUCCGGCUAACUCCGUG